AAUCUUCCCUCAGGAGGGGGAUAACCAUCCGAAGGGAUGACUAAUACCGCGUAAGACCACGGUCGCUUCGGCGACAGCGGUCAAAGGUGGCCUCUACACGUAAGCCACCACCUGAGGACGAGCCUGCGGCCCAUCAGCUAGUUGGUAGGGUAACGGCCUACCAAGGCUAAGACGGGUAGCUGGUCUGAGAGGAUGAUCAGCCACACUGGCACUGAAACACGGGCCAG
rnacentral:rRNA from 1 species